GAAGCCUGUGGAAGAGGAAGCAGAAAGAGUGUAUCGGUCAGAGGGGACGGAGGAUGCCAGGAGAACAGAACUAGGCAAGGGUGAAGUAACUGGAAGAGCAGACAAAAUCUCAAGCUAUUAAAAAACACCAGGUCCUCACCAUGAAUAGGAAACAGACACUCCGAACUGCCUUCAGACAAGACUGUGGUUUAAACAAUUUGAGACCUGGAAGCCUGGUUGGCUGAAGAAAAUUGGGAAGCUGUAUGUGUCUGUCAUUGCAGACGGAUCUACUGAAACAUUAUGAAUUCCUCUUGGGCUUCUCUGGCCCCUGAACACCAAGGUACAAUGGUGGAGGGCAAAGAGAUAGGGAGAGUCGCAAAGGGCAAAAGGAGCUAUUGAUUACAUUGUAAGUAGUCAAGUCUGCCCAGAUGGAGUCAAGUUAAGGCCCUAUGCACCAAGGGAGAAGUUAUUCUAUGAAAUAUACAGAGCCUAUGUCACAUGAGAAUGUCUUUUUGGUGAUGUUAGGUGCUCUGAUCUGUGCAUCUGUGCUGAGUGCCUCUGAACACGGGCACUAAUCUUACAUUCUUUUUAAAGCAAAGGAGGCUUUGCUUCAACUUGUAGAUUGGACGGACCCAAUAAAGGUAACUCCUGUUACCUUUAUUAAUGACUCUGUGUUUAUGAUUUGACCUUGGGACAACAACAGACUCAUUCAUUCAUCUGGAGAAGGGAGUGUGUUUAAUUUUUUGUUGGUAUUUAAAUCACUUCCUAUUAACACUGGACAUUACAUUUGUAUUCCUAUUAAAAGCAAAUAUAGGCUUAUGUUCUACAGGAUACCAGAUCUAAUAAUUA